rnacentral:rRNA from 1 species
AUUGAACGCUGGCGGCAGGCCUAACACAUGCAAGUCGAGCGGAUGAAGGGAGCUUGCUCCUGGAUUCAGCGGCGGACGGGUGAGUAAUGCCUAGGAAUCUGCCUGGUAGUGGGGGAUAACGUCCGGAAACGGGCGCUAAUACCGCAUACGUCCUGAGGGAGAAAGUGGGGGACCUUCGGACCUCACGCUAUCAGAUGAGCCUAGGUCGGAUUAGCUAGUUGGUGGGGUAAAGGCCUACCAAGGCGACGACCCGUAACUGGUCUGAGAGGAUGAUCAGUCACACUGGAACUGAGACACGGUCCAGACUCCUACGGGAGGCAGCAGUGGGGAAUAUUGGACAAUGGGCGAAAGCCUGAUCCAGCCAUGCCGCGUGUGUGAAGAAGGUCUUCGGAUUGUAAAGCACUUUAAGUUGGGAGGAAGGGCAGUAAGUUAAUACCUUGCUGUUUUGACGUUACCAACAGAAUAAGCACCGGCUAACUUCGUG